ACGUACACUCCUACGGGAGGCAGCAGUGGGGAAUAUUGGACAAUGGGCGCAAGCCUGAUCCAGCCAUGCCGCGUGAGUGAUGAAGGCCCUAGGGUUGUAAAGCUCUUUCACCGGUGAAGAUAAUGACGGUAACCGGAGAAGAAGCCCCGGCUAACUUCGUGCCAGCAGCCGCGGUAAUACGAAGGGGGCUAGCGUUGUUCGGAUUUACUGGGCGUAAAGCGCACGUAGGCGGACUAUUAAGUCAGGGGUGAAAUCCCGGGGCUCAACCCCGGAACUGCCUUUGAUACUGGUAGUCUUGAGUGCGAGAGAGGUGAGUGGAAUUCCGAGUGUAGAGGUGAAAUUCGUAGAUAUUCGGAGGAACACCAGUGGCGAAGGCGGCUCACUGGCUCGAUACUGACGCUGAGGUGCGAAAGCGUGGGGAGCAAACAGGAUUAGAUACCCCUGUAGUCCCAUGA
rnacentral:rRNA from 1 species